rnacentral:piRNA from 1 species
ACACAUUCAAAGAGUUCCCCCAUGCGUCUC